AAUCAUAAUAAUUGAACGAAUCGCAGAAUUCUGCGAUAAAUCAUUCAAGUUUCUGCCCUAUCAGCUUGGGAUGGUAGUGUAUUGGACUACCAUGGCAAUCACGGGGAAAGGAGAAUUAAGGUUCGAUUCCGGAGAGGGAGCCUGAGAAACGGCUACCACACCUACGGGAGGCAGCAGGGACGAAAAUUGCCCAAUCCUGAUUCACGGAGGCAGUGACAAGAAAUAACAACUCCCAACUUUGUUGGGAAGUGUAAGGAGGAUAAUUUACAAACCUUACCGAAAGCAAUUGGAGGACAAGUCUGGUGCCAGCACCCGCGGUAAUUCCAGCUCCAAAAGCGUAUAUAAAAGUUGUGGCAGUUAAAAAGCUCGUAGUUGAAAUUCCGGCUGUAUUGGGCCUCUGCUUUCAUGCGAAGGAACCACCAGUCAUCCGCUUGCAAGAACAUGCUCUUCCUUAACCGGCAGACUGUAUAAAUAAGCAUUUUACCUUGAGAAAAACAAAGUGUUCCACGCAGGUUUGUCCCGAAUGCAGUAGCAUGGAAUAAUACAAUAUGACUGAGGUCGAUUUAUUGGUUAGAGACUUUAGUAAUGAUUAAUAAGAACAAUCGGGGGCAUUGGUACUUGUCACCCAGAGGUGAAAUUCUUGGAUUUGACAAAGACUAACUGAUGCGAAAGCGUUUGCCAAGAAUGUUUUCAUUAAUCAAGAACGAAAGUUAGAGGAUCAAAGACGAUCAGAUACCGUCCUACUCUUAACUAUAAACUAUACCGACUCGGAUUCACAUGAAUAUCAAACAUCAUUUGGGACCGUAGGAGAAAUCAAAAUCUUCGCGUUCCGGGGGGAGUAUGGGCGCAAGGCUGAAACGUAAACGAACUGACGGUUUUGCACCACCAUGCAGUGGAGCCUGCGGCGUAAUUUGAAUCAACACUGGGAAACUCAUCAGGGCAAGAAAAUUUUAGGAUUGACAGAUUGAGAGUUCUUUCUUGAUUGGUCUAGUGGUGGUGCAUGGCCGUUCUUAGUUGGUGGAGUGAUUUGUCUGGUUAAUUCCGUUAACGAACGAGACCUUAACCUGCUAACUAGUACUUUGAUUUUCAAUCGGAGUUACUUCUUAGAGGGACUAUGUGAUGUAAUCACAUGGAAGUUUGAGGCAA
rnacentral:rRNA from 1 species